rnacentral:lncRNA from 1 species
GGUGCUGACCUGAGGAGGUCUGAACGGUGCUGUGUUGCUGAUGGCUGGACUUCCCUGUGGGCAGUGCAGUCUCCUGUAGAAGCUGCUCCUGUCUGGACAUCUGGUGAGCACGCUCACAGAGACAAAGCAGAGUUUCAGGAGAGCGGGUUUGGCAGUUAAAUCUCAAUACUUCACUGAGGCUCCUCAGUAGGCGUUGUAAAGCUCUUCCGAUACCAUACGCAAAGAGCUCAGCCCUCAGAAUUUUUCUUUCCCGCAUAGAGAAGAGGCACCUGGAAAUCUUAGAUCUCUGAGUUUUCAUUGAGUUAUGCAAAACAUACAAUAUAAUCAGAAAAUAAAAUGAAAGAAACUGAGAUAAGGAAUUGGAACAGAAGGAAAGGAGAUUAGAACUGCCAGAUGAGGCCUUGGAACUGCUGCGACUCUACAGACCGGGGGGACCUGGCGACCGAGCCGAGAAGGAGGAGGGCACAGGACCUGCCACCAGGAGAUGGGAACUUGAGCCCCGGCUGAGUGAGAAAGAAGAGAGCAGCCCCUGGGAGUUGUGGACCGGGAGUGGACCUGGCGCUCGCUGGCAGGCUGGGUGCCUCCUGUAGAAGUAAACAGUGUCACAAAGCGUCAGUAUCUGACAAGGUCCUUCUGUGUCCUCAGUG